ensembl:lncRNA uncharacterized LOC113482257
GAACAGUAUUGGGAUCACCAAUUUUUAAGGUGUCAGAGUACCUGGGAGCAGGAUCACCACACCCCAUUCCUUCCCAGACCUUGAUGAGAUGUUGAGGCUGUGCUAUGCAGCUGGUCAGACUGGGCAAUAUCCAUCAGAACAAAGAAACACAGAAGGAAGCCUCCACAGAUGCCAAGAAGUCAGCUCUGUGAUUACUUGCAACUAUAUACAGAAUCACAUCCCUGAUCAAAGCAGGUCAUAAUAUUCAGAGCCCUGGCAAGAUAUUCUCAGCAUUGGGGAAGUCAUAAACUACAAGGUGACCUGGCUUCCCCCGAGUAUGCUUUAUACAUCUGACUGCGCUAUCUUGGUACGUCUCCCAUGAACUACC